GUCUUGAGCGUAUUGUGGGUUUCCUGUGUUGCAUACCUUUCUAAUGGUAUCGUGUUGAUUGAUCGAAGUCCCUUUUCAUCUUGUGUUGCUUUUUGCGACGCAUGAUGAACCUCGAGGCGGUCUCUAUGUUCCACCACGUUGAUGCUAGCGUUUUGAUGUUGUGGCCCAUUGAGUGUUGCUUGGUUUCGUGGAUACAGAACAUGAUUUGGGCAUAGGGUUACUUGUGUGACUCUUGUUUUGUCCUUUAUCUGUGUUCUUUAAAACGACGGUUCAUGCGCGCCUAGGCUCGUACCUGCGCGAUGUUCUUUGUCGAAGAGGAAUGCUACCUGGUUGAUCCUGCCAGUAGUCAUAUGCUUGUCUCAAAGAUUAAGCCAU
rnacentral:misc_RNA from 1 species